GACGAACGCUGGCGGCGUGCUUAACACAUGCAAGUCGAACGGAAAGGCCCUGCUUUUGUGGGGUGCUCGAGUGGCGAACGGGUGAGUAACAAGUGAGUAACCUGCCCUUGACUUUGGGAUAACUUCAGGAAACUGGGGCUAAUAACGGAUAGGAGCUCCUGCUGAAUGGUGGGGGUUGGAAAGUUUCGGCGGUUGGGGAUGGACUCGCGGCUUAUAAGCUUGUUGGUGGGGGAGUGGCUUACCAAGGCUUUGACGGGUAGCCGGCCUGAGAGGGUGACCGGCCACAUUGGGACUGAGAUACGGCCCAGACUCCUACGGGAGGCAGCAGUGGGGAAUAUUGCACAAUGGGCGGAAGCCUGAUGCAGCAACGCCGCGUGCGGGAUGACGGCCUUCGGGUUGUAAACCGCUUUCGCCUGUGACGAAGCGUGAGUGACGGUAAUGGGUAAAGAAGCACCGGCUAACUACGUG
rnacentral:rRNA from 1 species